UACGUAGGGGGCAAGCGUUGUCCGGAAUUAUUGGGCGUAAAGAGCGCGUAGGCGGUGGAUUAAGUUGGGUGUAAAUGGCAACGGCUCAACCGUUGUAAGCAUCCAAAACUGGUUAACUUGAGUGCAGAAGAGGAGAGUGGAAUUCCCGGUGUAGCGGUGGAAUGCGUAGAUAUCGGGAGGAACACCAGUGGCGAAGGCGACUCUCUGGUCUGUAACUGACGCUGAGGCGCGAAAGCGUGGGGAGCAAACAGG
rnacentral:rRNA from 1 species